rnacentral:lncRNA from 1 species
UAGCUAAGUAAAUACUGACUCCAAAGUUUGUAAACAACUACUAAACCAUUCACUAACCUAAAAAUUGGGAUUUAUAGAAGUAAAACCAGUUUACGUAUGUCUUUUUCAGAUACCUAUAGGAUUCUUCAUCCUGUCAACCGUGGAUGGCGAAGCAGACACGAUCAAACGAUGGUGAGCGAGGGUGCAACUGAAGCAUUUCAAGAGACAAGAUGUUAAGAGAUGAAGGUGAUAGCCCCGAGUCUAUAAUAUAGAGUUAUCCGCUACAAAUGGAGUUGGGAAGGUGCAGCAGACAAGUGGCACGCACGCACGCACGCACGCACCCAGCGCACGCAGCCACGCAGCGCACCUGGGGCACACAGGGGCUGAUAGCGCAGCGGGGCGCACGCCGCAAGUAUUUA